UGGUUGACUACUGUUGUAAGGGAUUUUAGCAGGAGAAAGCUGAAACCAGGAGAUGCUAUCAGCCAACAAUCUGGAACUCCACUCAGGAGCUGAGAGUCAGUUCAGACUGACAGCUGGCUCUCUGGGAAGGAGACAGGGCGUGAGUAGAGUUGGCUCUCUCUGAAGAAGAAGACGAAGCUGCCAGGAGACUGAACUUUCCUUCAAUCAAUCCAUCUUGAGGGUGUGGUAGAGCGAGUUACAUUACACCGGUGGACAGUAAAUUCUCUAGGCCAAUUAGGAUCGGAGGUACCAAAAGUGAUGAGAAUUUUUUAAAAAUUACAACACUGUCCGAAAAUGUCAUAGAAGUGAAGCUGUAUAUCAGUGGUUAUGUGCGUAAGUUUCAGUGUCCUUCAAGUGUUUUCCCUGAGCCUUCCUCUGGAUAUCCUGUGACAGCCUUUCUAAGGUUUUUCUGUUAAGCCAAAAUAGAAGUAUCUGCCACCAGACCUGCUUCCAAUCCAUCCCUUGCAGCCAUCAUUGAGGGGAGAAACCAUCAUGGAGGAACCCACUCUUCUCAUCACCACCAGCAAUAACUGCUGACCAAAUGUCACCAAUAGGGAGAUAGUCACAAGAGCCCGAGGAGUGGGAGCUGUCCUCAGAACACCAGUCCUUCUUCUAGCCCAGACUCUACAGUCAUUAUUUGGGAAGCAAUUCAUAUGGAGAACAGGACAGCCAUCAUCUUCAAAUGCCAACCAGCUCUAAAUGAAAAUCACUCACAGGGAAUGGCAGCAGUAUAAGGCAAGUCAAACCAUUACUACCAUAUUGCUAGCCAUCUCCCUUUGUGCUCUGUUAAAGACAACCUACUACCUUGAAUAAAAGAACUCUGGGAAUAGUAAUGCUCCCAGCCAGUGUCCACAGCCAUCAUCCAGGGAAGCAAACCUUGUGGUGAUACAGACUGACAACUGGUCCAGUAGGUGCCAGAAAAUAAAAUUCUUAUGACCAUA